CAUCAUUAUUUCAAUCUAGGGCUGGGAUCUGGAACCGUAAAACCGGAGGAACCGCACCGAACCGCACCGAAAAACCCGGUUCGGUUCGGUUUUAUGAUAUAUGUGCUUACAUGUUUAUCGGUUCGGUUCCUGAUAAUGCCUUCUCGGUUCGGUUCCGGUGCUUGUUUUUAAAACUUACUUGGAACCGAAUUACAGAUGUCAAAGUAUAAUUGAAUAAUAGGGCCGAGGUUAUUCCUCUAAAAUAAACCCCUUCCCAUGUGAUCAGGCACCAACUUAGUUCCAAAUGCGAUCAGAAAUUCCCAUCUCAUCUCCUAUCCCUUUGAUCAAAACCCUCAAAAACUAUCUCUUCUCUCACACUCUCGAAUUCUCUCAAACCCGCCUCAUGAACACGAAACAUGAAACCCCAAUUGCAUUGAUCAAAACCCAGACGAGCGUCUCGCUUCUCUCAAAGUCUGGAACCCAGAAUCUGGUAAGCUCGCUGUACUCUCCAUCUCUCAUCGAUCUGCAAUUUCACUUUUUCAAUUGGGAGAUCUGAAGUUUGAUCCUCAAUUUCGGUUUCAUUUGUCUUCACUUGCUUCAAUUCUAGCCAUAUCCACUUCCAAAAUUCACAUACAGACAUAACCCUUCACUUACCUCUGGGCCUUUUGUGUCAGCAAUUUGCGGUGGUCGACAAAGCCAGGCAUACAUGACUUUGAGUGCAAGAAUUGAAUUGGGUUUGGUCCUGAAAUCGGUUGCUGCUUUGGUUCUGGAGUUGUUGAUUUUUGUGUUUAGAAAGUGAUGAUGAAGGCUGCUUUGGUUCAGUACUUCCACUACUUUGGAAGUUUGGAUAAUUGGAUCUGUUGGUUAAUUCACUUAAUUGUAACUUUUCAAUUUGUAAGUUUGAAGUUUGAUGUUUGAAAUGGCUGUAACUUAGCUUAAAAGUGAACAAAUUUGUAUUUCUGAUG